CAACCGAGAUAGCUCAGUUGGGUAGAGCAUGAGUCUCUUAAUCUCAGGGUUUUGGGUUCAAAUCCCAUGUUGGUUGA